CACAUGUGACGAGUUUGAUCAUGACUCAGAACGAACGCUGGCGGCGCGCCUAACACAUGCAAGUCGAACGAGAAUCCGGGGCAACCCGGUAGUAAAGUGGCAAACGGGUGAGGAAUACAUGGGUAACCUACCCUUGAGAAGGGAAUAACCCGCCGAAAGGUGAGCUAAUACCCUAUACGCUAUCUUUUUUUCGAAAAGGAUAGGAAAGCCGGGUCGAGGACCUGGUACUCAAGGAGGGGCUCAUGUCCUAUCAGCUUGUUGGUGGGGUAACGGCCUACCAAGGCUACGACGGGUAGCUGGUCUGAGAGGAUGAUCAGCCACACUGGCACUGAGAUACGGGCCAGACUCCUACGGGAGGCAGCAGUGAGGAAUAUUGCGCAAUGGGCGAAAGCCUGACGCAGCGACGCCGCGUGGGGGAUGAAGGUUUUCGGAUUGUAAACCCCUUUCAUGAGGAAAGAUAAAGUGGGUAACCACUUAGACGGUACCUCAAGAAGAAGCCACGGCUAACUUCGUG
rnacentral:rRNA from 1 species